UGGGAACACUUAUUCUGUUGUAUAGAAUGAAGUGUUGCUUGAUUCUAGAAUCAAAGAGCAAGAGCAGGCAGGAGGGCAAGACGACAGCAAGAGAACAAGAAAGAAACCUGAAGAAAAGAAGUUUUAGUGAAGAUGGAAAGGCUUAAAACAUACCAUGGAGAAUGACCUCAGCCUUCUGUGUGGAGGAUUUGCACUUGGAGAUAAGGAAAGAGAGGGACUUCAGAGAGUUAAGCAGUUCAGUUUCCUUUGCAUUUCUUACAUCUGAGCAGGUGACCGGAGUGAACACUCUGGAAGCCACAGUGGAGUCCUCUGCUUGGGGCCUCUUUCUGGAAACCAGAUCAAUUCACUGAAAAACAAUUUGCAAAUGACUAGUUCAUUGAGAAGCAAGUGACCAAAACUCUAAGUCACCGAAUGACCUGCUCAUUGAUUUAUUGAAGAUUUUAUUCCAAGGUCUACUUCCCUCUGCAUUUGUGGCUGCCAUUUCAUAUGUGAAUGGGUGGGCAGUUUGCUGUCAUGCCCUUUUUGUGCAUCUCUAUCCUGACCCUGUAUGUGGUGCUGCCUUUUCCCAGGCCCCCUGCCCCUGCCCUGGCCUCUGUCUGCAAAGCAGUUGCAGCAACCUCCCUCUUGCUGUUGAAGAUACUCAUCUGAUGUCUAUUGUGAAUUGGCUGGAGCCCUUCUACAGGUUUGUUAGCGUCCCUCUGCAUCCAGGCUGAUGGUGCCUGCCAUGCUUCUACAUGCUGUUCUCUGCCACCCACCUGAGCCCAGCUAGAGUCAGUGGGGAAGUGGAGGAGCCACAUCAAAACAGUGUGUCCACCUCAGUCACCCUCCAGUGUGCAUUGACGACCAGGCAGCCAUUAGACCCAAAUGCAGCCCCACAGCAUAGAGGCAAAUGGAAAGGCCACAUAUCCUCUUUUCAUUCUCCUUCCAUGUGAGGCCCUGCAGAGCCUGGCAUCUGUCUUCAUCAUCGUGGCAUCCUCAGACUCUUUCUUCUUCCUGGAGCGAGCUGUGCUCUCUGAAGCCACUGCCUGUGUGGGAAGUACCCCAGCAUUUCUUCGCUGUUGCCAGGCAUCCCUUCCUGUCCUACCACUUCAAAUGCAUCUUUUCAUGUGUCCUUCCUGAGCACCUCUAGCAGCUGCAUGUUCCUGUUUCAGCCUCUGCCUUUCCACAGCUCCUCCAAGAUUCCUCUAUUGCAGAGCACAGCACCACCUUGCAGGAAACCUCCCAGAGGACUGUGAGGACCAUGAAGCAAGGGGCUGCAUCUUAUUCUCCUUGGUGUCUGGCCCAGCAGUGGGCCCAGGCCAGAUGCCAUUAAGAACAUUCAUGAUUCAUGAGAGGAGAUCAAAAUAUCAACAUAAACAGGAGUUUGAAAGAAGUUGAUUUCAACCCUUGUGGAUGACUAUGAGAGAUUCAAGGCUUCAGUGGAGAAUGCACCUACAGAUAUGGUGGAAACAGCAAAAGAAAUAGAAUCAGAAGUGGAGCCUGAAGAUUAAACUGAAUUGCUGCAAUCUCAUGAUAAAACUUGAACAGAUGAGGAGUUGCUUCUUACAGGUCUGUGGAUCAACACUGUCUCCCUGGCCUCUACCCAGCGCGCAGGACCCCUUAGCAGAGCAGGAGAACUCAGGAUCCAGCCAGCUGCCGGCACACUUUCGUCCUCCUCCGCACACGAGGAUCCCCAGGCCCAGCGGUGUUAGCCCAGAGAGGAGCGGCGUUUGGGAUGUGAUCCACAGCUGAUCCCUCGUGGCCCCUCCUCUCCCGAAUCCUGAAACAUGAGGAGGCCCUUCAGCUGCUGGCUCGGAGUCCGACUAUGGGAACUUUCUCCGGUCUACGGGGGCAGCAAGGGUCUCGCCUCAGGGACUUGGUUUAUUUAUCUAGCUGGACUCCAUCCCUUAAUAUCCUACUUACAGAGGAAGAGGCUUUAGCAGCUAAAUGCAGCCCCAUCCCCUCCUGUGGAGACUGUGAGCAGAAAAAGAACAGAUAUUUACAGAGGCCCGAGCCCCCCUUGUUGUUUUCUGCAAGGCUGUCGAGCUGGUGGAGCUUCAGGAUCCUGGUCAGGAACCCCGAACCCAGCGCUGGAGGCCCUGAAGAUCAGGGCACCCGACCCUCUUCCCAGCCGCCAAAGGCCUGUGUUGGUCUGAUUGUGGAUUCCAAGCUCUAAUUUCCAUCCAUCCUCCCAAUCCGAAUUCCCUUUGCAGACAUAAACACCAUCAGCAAUGUAGAGAAUGUGUUUCCUCAUCUUUGAAUAUUAACACUCAUCUGUUUAAUUGAGCUACUUUUUACAUACAUGUAAGAUGUGCUGCAAUUGCAAAAGAAACAUGUGCUUCGUGUUCUAUAAGCCAUAUCUUCCGCAAGACCUGCCAUCAAAUGAUUGCUCAAACAUUUGUUGAAUGGGAUGAGCAAUGGAGGUUCAGACAGGUGCCCUGACCUACCCAGGCUGGAGGGUAGGGAGCUAGAAAUUCAUACAACCAUGCCUUGUUCUACUUGUUUUGUGAAAGAAUCAUGUGACCAGUGACAAAGAGGCUGGGCAGCUGGGUCAGGCAGCAGGGACAGCGACUGAGCUGGGGGGACUACAGUGCUGUGCUCCUCUGCACCCGUGCUGGGAUGUCUGAGGCCAAGCUGACACUGGCCCCCCACAAUCCCUUGGGGCUGCUCCUCCUCAGGGAGUGGCUCUCCGGGUUUCCUGCUUGACUCCUGCUGCUCUUGUGUUGAAGGGCCGUCUCUGGGCAGCUCCCCCUGGCCCCUGGCCAGAGAGCCAGGCCCUGUCAGGCACGCACAUGGAGGAUGAGGGAGGUGCAGUUGUUUUCACAGGUGCAGACUCUAGAGGGACCCCACGUGGACUCUGUGGCUUCUGCCCCGACGCACUCGCGGGAGGACACAGCUCUGCCC
ensembl:lncRNA TMEM72-AS1 TMEM72 antisense RNA 1